AUGAAUCAGCUGUGGUUCUUCCUCUCUCUGCUGUCAGCUCCCAGAGGUGUCCUGUCCCAGGUGCAGCUUCUGGAGUCAGGACCCAGCCUGGUGAAGGCCUCACACACCCUCUCCCUCACCUGCACUCUCUCUGGUUUCUCAUUAACCAGCUAUGGUGUAACCUGGGCCCGCCAGCCUCCAGGAAAGGGGCGAUGUGUCCUGUCUGACCUGACACUGCAGGAGUCUGGCCCAGGACUGGUGAAGCCCUCACAGACCCUGUCCCUCACCUGUGCUGUCUCCGGGGGCUCUGUAACCAGCAGUUACUACUGGAAGUGGAUCUGCCCGCGCCCUGGGAAAGGGUUGGAGUGGAUGGAGUACUGGACAGGAAGUACAAGCUACAACCCUGCUUUCCAAGGCCGAAUCUCCAUCACUGCUGACACGUCCAAGAACCAGUUCUCCCUGCAGCUGAGUUCUCUGACCACCGAGGACACAGCUGUGUAUUACUGUGCAAGAGACAGUGAGAGGAAGUCAGUGUGA